CACCAUUCCAAAAGGUCGACAGAGCCGUCUGGAUUCUCCUUUUCUAGUCCCUGUGACAAGUAAACUUGAAGCUCAUUUAGAUGGGAAAUUUCAUCAAAAUUAUCACCUUGGGAACCCCGGAACUCCGUCCACGAUUUAAGAGCUAUUACGCCAGCAGCUCUUUUAGACGAUUGUGAUGUAGACGAAGUAGGGGUUGGAAUAUUUGGUCUAGCAUGCUCUAACGCCUGUUUAUAAGCAUUAUAAACAG
rnacentral:lncRNA from 1 species